rnacentral:misc_RNA from 1 species
GGAAGGUUCCUUACUUUCCAGCAUAAUCACGUCUCGAGUUUUAUUGCAUAAUAAGUAAUGAAGUCUUAAAAUGCAUGCAUAUCAAAUCUCACCCCACUCGAUCCGUGGCCAUGGGUCGACGUACUCAACUCUCGAUCACUCGAUCCCAAGCAUUCAUCAUCAUAUCCCCCAAUUAUCAACAGAUACACAAACAUACAAAAACAUGCAUGCACGACAUGCAUUACUGCUAGCUCUAAGCGUGCAUUCAUCAAUGACCCACAUGUCGCCCCAUCAACUCCCACAAAUCGCAAGCAUUUGCAC